CCUACGGGAGGCAGCAGUGAGGAAUAUUGGUCAAUGGGCGAAAGCCUGAACCAGCCACGUCGCGUGAAGGAUGAAUGCCCUACGGGUUGUAAACUUCUUUUAUAUGGGAAUAAAACAGAGAAAGCAUACCCCAUUGUAUGUACCCUACGAAUAAGGGUCGGCUAACUCCGUGCCAGCAGCCGCGGGAAUACGGAGGGUCCGUGCGUUAUCCGGAUUUAUUGGGAUUAAAGUGUGCGUAGGUGGUUUGUUAAGUCUGGUGUGAAAGUUGGCGGCUCAACCGGAGCACUGCAGUUGAAACUGGCAGACUUGAGUACAGUAGAGGCAGGCGGAAUUCGUGGUGUAGCGGUGAAAUGCGUAGAUAUCACGAGGAACUCCGAUGGCGAAGGCAGCUCACUGGACUGCAACUGACGCUGAGGCUCGAAAGUGAGGGUAGCAAACAGGAUUAGAUACCCCAGUAGUC
rnacentral:rRNA from 1 species